GACGAACUUUGGCGGCGUGCUUAACACAUGCAAGUCGAACGGAAAGGCCCUGCUUUUGUGGGGUGCUCGAGUGGCGAACGGGUGAGUAACACGUGAGUAACCUGCCCUUGACUUUGGGAUAACUUCAGGAAACUGGGGCUAAUACCGGAUAGGAGCUCCUGCUGCAUGGUGGGGGUUGGAAAGUUUCGGCGGUUGGGGAUGGACUCGCGGCUUAUCAGCUUGUUGGUGGGGUAGUGGCUUACCAAGGCUUUGACGGGUAGCCGGCCUGAGAGGGUGACCGGCCACAUUGGGACUGAGAUACGGCCCAGACUCCUACGGGAGGCAGCAGUGGGGAAUAUUGCACAAUGGGCGGAAGCCUGAUGCAGCAACGCCGCGUGCGGGAUGACGGCCUUCGGGUUGUAAACCGCUUUCGCCUGUGACGAAGCGUGAGUGACGGUAAUGGGUAAAGAAGCACCGGCUAACUACGUGCCAGCAGCCGCGGUGAUACGUAGGGUGCGAGCGUUGUCCGGAUUUAUUGGGCGUAAAGGGCUCGUAGGUGGUUGAUCGCGUCGGAAGUGUAAUCUUGGGGCUUAACCCUGAGCGUGCUUUCGAUACGGGUUGACUUGAGGAAGGUAGGGGAGAAUGGAAUUCCUGGUGGAGCGGUGGAAUGCGCAGAUAUCAGGAGGAACACCAGUGGCGAAGGCGGUUCUCUGGGCCUUUCCUGACGCUGAGGAGCGAAAGCGUGGGGAGCGAACAGGCUUAGAUACCCUGGUAGUCCACGCUGUAAACGGUGGGUACUAGGUGUGGGGUCCAUUCCACGGGUUCCGUGCCGUAGCUAACGCUUUAAGUACCCCGCCUGGGGAGUACGGCCGCAAGGCUAAAACUCAAAGGAAUUGACGGGGCCCCGCACAAGCGGCGGAGCAUGCGGAUUAAUUCGAUGCAACGCGUAGAACCUUACCUGGGUUUGACAUGGAUCGGGAGUGCUCAGAGAUGGGUGUGCCUCUUUUGGGGUCGGUUCACAGGUGGUGCAUGGCUGUCGUCAGCUCGUGUCGUGAGAUGUUGGGUUAAGUCCCGCAACGAGCGCAACCCUUGUUCACUGUUGCCAGCACGUUAUGGUGGGGACUCAGUGGAGACCGCCGGGGUCAGCUCGGAGGAAGGUGGGGAUGACGUCAAGUCAUCAUGCCCCUUAUGUCCAGGGCUUCACGCAUGCUACAAUGGCUGGUACAGAGAGUGGCGAGCCUGUGAGGGUGAGCGAAUCUCGGAAAGCCGGUCUCAGUUCGGAUUGGGGUCUGCAACUCGACCUCAUGAAGUCGGAGUCGCUAGUAAUCGCAGAUCAGCAACGCUGCGGUGAAUACGUUCCCGGGGCU
rnacentral:rRNA from 1 species